rnacentral:rRNA from 1 species
CGGUACCAUAGGAGGAAGUCACGACUAACUACGUGCCAGCAGUCGCGGUAAUACGUAGGUGGCAAGCGUUAUCCGGAAUUAUUGGGUGUAAAGGGUGCGUAGGCGGGAUGUAAAGUCAGAUGUGAAAUGCCGCAGCUUAACUGCGGAGCUGCAUUUGAAACUUGUGUUCUUGAGUGAAGUAGAGGCAAGCGGAAUUCCUAGUGUAGCGGUGGAAUGCGUAGAUAUUAGGAGGAACACCGGUGGCGAAGGCGGCUUGCUGGGCUUUUACUGACGCUGAGGCACGAAAGUGUGGGGAGCAAACAGGAUUAGAUACCCUGGUAGUCCACACCGUAAACGAUGAUUACUAGGUGUAGGUCGGCUGAACCGAUCUGUGCCGGAGUUAACACAAUAAGUAAUCCACCUGGGGAGUACGGCCGCAAGGUUGAAACUCAAAGGAAUUGACGGGGGCCCGCACAAGCAGUGGAGUAUGUGGUUUAAUUCGACGCAACGCGAAAAACCUUACCAGGUCUUGAC